UGCCAGCCGCCGCGGUAAUACGGAGGGUGCAAGCGUUGUUCGGAAUCAUUGGGCGUAAAGCGGGUGUAGGCGGCUUGGCAAGUCGAGUGUGAAAUCCCUGGGCCCAACCCAGGAACUGCACUCGAAACUGCCUCGCUAGAGUCCCGGAGAGGGUGGCGGAAUUCCCGGUGUAGAGGUGAAAUUCGUAGAUAUCGGGAGGAACACCAGUGGCGAAGGUGGCCACCUGGACGGUGACUGACGCUCAGACCCGAAAGCGUGGGGAGCAAACAGGAUUAGAUA
rnacentral:rRNA from 1 species